rnacentral:lncRNA from 1 species
UGGUAUAAGUCUAGUGUUUGCUCUUUAUAUGGUAAAAUCGCUAUAAAAUUAAUAAAUUCGAAACAAGUUAAAUUACCAUAUUUAUUAGUUUAGAAGUUACAUAUACAUGUAAUUCCAUUUUUAUUAAUGUUUUAUCUCAUUCUAGUUAUUAUCAAAUUGUUAUAAAAUUAUUUUUUACAGUAUAUUUUAUUUUAAGGACUUUCCUAUUUUCUGCUAGGGAUAGUAAUGAAAACCCGAGGUCUGGUUUUUG